UCUUCCUACCAUAAUCGGAUUCCCUGCUGCCUAUGACUACAGCUGCUUUAUAUUAAGGUACUCUCACAACAAGAAAUGAAUUCAGUUUCGCUUGCAUUUGGUAACAAAAAAUUGAGGUUUACCUCGUAACAGAGCGUAGGGGAUGGUAAAUUGAAGAACGAAUGUUUUGAUCUCCCAGUUAAGAAUUCAUGUAAAUUUUAUAAUGUUCAAAAGACUGUUCGAGUUUCUAUAAUAUUUUAAUCGUAUGACGUUUUAUAUCGCGGCAUUUUUAAUCAGUUAAAAAAUUCUUACCUGAAAGUCAAUUGAAUUUCCCGCUACUCGCUGGUACAUCUGAAUUUGCUUAUAAUUGUCGAUGGUCCUCCGUUUUAAUUAUUCUUACGUAUCUUUAUACGUAUUUAUAUACACUACUUCGCGGCCGCCUUGUAAUCCCGUUACGUUCACUGACCGAGGACCGCCACGGAGUUGCCGAUUACGAAAGUCACGCAGUUUACAGUCUUUUUAAAUUAUGCUCGAAUUGUACCGCGCUGAGUUCUCAAAGAAUAUUCGCAAAAUGUAACGUCAUUGUAGAAGCAAUUUCCUGAGACUUGAAGCAAUAUAAAAAGAAACAGGGACGAUACGUGGGUUAUGGUAUUUCGUAUAUUCGCAACAAGUCACGAUAAUUUUGCCGUUAUUGUCUCUAUAGCUAACGGUACGUUAAACAAUCUUGUAAAAGGUAAAGCAAAAAGUGACGUCAACCGCCUCGCCCGAGUCGGCCAUCUUCACUAUAGUUAAAUCCCACGGUUUAAUCGACAUUCGCGAUCGCCAUUCUCCCGCCAUCGCUCAUUCGGAUUCUACGACGCGCAAUGGUGCACCAUAAAUGCUCAAGAUAAUACAACAAGAUUUAAAUCACAUACAAUAUUGCCACAUUCCACCUACAUUGCUAACAACAAAGGUAUACGUGCCAUACGUAUUGCCUGCAGUCCUUCCCAACGCCAUAAUAAUACAAGAGCAACAGCAACGAGGAAACAUGAGAAUUCUUACUCAUUCUUCUUCUUGGCUUUCGCAAUUGGGUGAAAAAUAGAACGGAAAAAGUUAAGCAGAUCAAAAGGGUCUUUGCCGUGCAUUUACGUUUCAGAUCUUUGUGGCGAGAUAAUUGGCUUACAGAUAACGCGCAAUGUUACCAUCAGAUUUUAUCUGAAUUACUAGUUGUUGGCACAUGGAAACGGAUCUAUUGAAUUUUUUUAGAGGGAAUAUGUCAAGGGAAAGGUGGAACCCCGUGAAUCUUAAUGCCAAGGCAUUUAUCGGAACCAGAACAAGUCCUACAUGAAGUUGCAUUCAAUUUGUGUAUGGUAAAAGGAAGAUGACUCAACCAUGACGACAGAGACGUCGACGUCGGACUUUGCAAAAUGCCAGAUGACAACGGAGUCAUUGACGUCGGUUUUAUCGUCGUAACGACGGAAUUCGGUUCAUUGUAAACAAGAUUUUCUCCAUCGACUCUGAAAACGUGGAUUCAAUCAUUUUUAUCAAAAUAUUGUAAAUGUUUUAAAUCCAAUCAAGAUAUAUCGCCUGUGCAUAAAAAUAAUUAACGCAAAUUUUAUUAAAAAUAUCGCUUGUAUAGAAAAUAUA